UGGAGCAUGUGGUUUAAUUCGAUGCAACGCGAAAAACCUUACCCACCUUUGACAUGUACGGAAGUUGCCAGAGAUGGCUUCGUGCUCGAAAGAGAACCGUAACACAGGUGCUGCAUGGCUGUCGUCAGCUCGUGUCGUGAGAUGUUGGGUUAAGUCCCGCAACGAGCGCAACCCUUGUCAUUAGUUGCUACAUUCAGUUGGGCACUCUAAUGAGACUGCCGGUGACAAACCGGAGGAAGGUGGGGAUGACGUCAAGUCCUCAUGGCCCUUAUAGGUGGGGCUACACACGUCAUACAAUGGCUGGUACAAAGGGUUGCCAACCCGCGAGGGGGAGCUAAUCCCAUAAAACCAGUCGUAGUCCGGAUCGCAGUCUGCAACUCGACUGCGUGAAGUCGGAAUCGCUAGUAAUCGUGGAUCAGAAUGUCA
rnacentral:rRNA from 1 species